rnacentral:rRNA from 1 species
GAGCUUGCUCCUUUGACGUUAGCGGCGGACGGGUGAGUAACACGUGGGCAACCUGCCUUAUAGAUUGGGAUAACUCCGGGAAACCGGGGCUAAUACCGAAUAAUCUUUUUCACCUCAUGGUGAAAUAUUGAAAGACGGUUUCGGCUGUCACUUUUGGAUGGGCCCGCGGCGCAUUAGCUAGUUGGUGAGGUAACGGCUCACCAAGGCGACGAUGCGUAGCCGACCUGAGAGGGUGAUCGGCCACACUGGGACUGAGACACGGCCCAGACUCCUACGGGAGGCAGCAGUGGGA